rnacentral:rRNA from 1 species
GACGAACGCUGGCGGCGUGCUUAACACAUGCAAGUCGAACGAAGUGGCGAACGGGUGAGUAACGCGUAAUCAACCUGCCCUUCAGAGGGGGACAACAGGUGGAAACGACUGCUAAUACCGCAUACUGAAGGAGGGGAAUGCGUCAGAUUCGCUAGUUGGAGGGGUAACGGUCCACCAAGGCGAUGAUCAGUAGCCGGUCUGAGAGGAUGAACGGCACCCUUGGCGCUGAGACACGGCCCAUACUCCUACGGGAGGCAGUAGUGGGGAAUCUUCCGCAAUGGACGAAAGUCUGACGGAGCAACUCCGCGUGAGUGAUGACGGCCUUCGGGUUGUAAAGCUCUGUUAUUCGGGACGCGGUACCGGAAUAGAAAGCCACGGCUAACUACGUGACAGCAGCCGCGGUAAUUC